rnacentral:misc_RNA from 1 species
GAUGAAGAACGCAGCGAAAUGCGAUAAGUAGCGUGAAUUGCAGAAUUCAGUGAAUCAUCGAAUCUUUGAACGCACAUUGCGCCCCUUGGUAUCCCGAGGGGCAUGCCUGUUCGAGCGUCAUUUCACCACUCAAGCCUGGCUUGGUGUUGGGCGACGUCCUCUUUGGGGACGCGCCUCGAAACGCUCGGCGGCGUGGCACCGGCUUUAAGCGUAGCAGAAUCUUUCGCUUUGGAAGUCGGGGCCCCGUCUGCCGGAAGACCUGCUCGCAAGGUUGACCUCGGAUCAGGCAGGGAUACCCGCUGAACUUAAGCAUAUCAAUAAGCGGAGGA